CGGCCGCGGUGCUGCGGCCUCACGCCCUUUUCUCUUUUGCAGAGGAUAACAGCACUUUUCAGGAAACAUGUCCACACUGCUUCCAAUUGUUGGUUCUGGAUAAUUCUAGAGUGCGCCUCAAACCCAAAGCCAAAUUGACACCAAAGAUACAGAAACUUCUUAAUCGAGAAGCAAGAAAUUAUACACUCAGUUUUAAAGAAACAAAGCUGUUGAGAAAGUACAGAGACUCCGCAAGUGUGCUG
rnacentral:lncRNA from 1 species